UGGCUGGCGUAGUCUAGUGGUUACUUCGUUAAUAAAUAAGAGGGUGUAGGAUAGGUGGGAGCUACCGCGAUCUUGAAAUACCACCACCACUUAGUAUAUUGUACCACUGACGCUGUCCAACCCUUUU
rnacentral:vault_RNA from 1 species